GUCGAGGAUAUUUAGCAAUGGACGAAAGUCUGACUAUGUGACGCCGCGUGAGGGAUGAAGGCCUUCGGGUCGUAAACCUCUUUCGAUGAGAAAGAAGAGUUCAGGGUGAAUAGCCCUGAAUUUUGACGGUACUCAGAGAAGAAGCCACGGCCAACUCUGUGCCAGCAGCCGCGGUAAUACAGAGGUGGCGAGCGUUACUCGGAUUUAUUGGGUGUAAAGGGCAGGUAGGCGUUUCAUUAAGUUAGAGGUGAAAUCCUAAGGCUUAACCUUAGAACUGCUUCUAAGACUGAUGGAAUUGAGACUAGAAGAGGAAAGCGGAAUUCCCGGUGUAAGGGUGAAAUCUGUAGAUAUCGGGAGGAACACCAGUGGCGAAGGCGGCUUUCUGGUCUAGAUCUGACGCUGAGCUGCGAAAGCUCGGGGAGCAAACAGGAUUAGAAACCCCUGUAGUCC
rnacentral:rRNA from 1 species